rnacentral:rRNA from 1 species
AUGGACCAAUCUUUCCCUUUUUCCCGUUCAUAUGCAUCGGACUCGGCUGACGAUGGUCCCGAUGAAGAAGUUGAUGAGGAGGGAUUCACGACGAAGGAGGCCGAAGCAUUUAAGAAGGUAUUCCGGCGGGAUCACAAGAUACCAUUGUUCAAGGAUCUUAGUCUCGCGGAUGAAGCCGUUGUAGAUGGUGGAAAAUUUAUAUCUCUGGGAGGUAGGCCAAGCUCUCACCGUGAUUUGGAAGACGUCAAGAACGGGAUAUAUCCCGGUUGUGAGUUUGAAUCCUUCUUGGAAUUGAGAUGUGGUUCAACAACUACUCGGUUACGCAUUACCAUCCACAUAGAGUGGCCAACUCGUACGUCAAUGUGCGUUAUGCGGUUAAAAUGA